GGUGUCAUUCUGUGGUUUCAUUUUCUUUGUGAUUUACAUAGAAGAAAACAAUGUUGAUAGGGAAAAAAUAUGAUUUCGAGGUGGAGGGUAGUGUCACCUAGCAGCUCCCGAGUGCUUGAAGAGCCCCAUUGUUGCACAGGAGAGAAUUUAUACCAUUCGUUGUUAAAAUGACAAGCCUGCCUGAGUCAGAGCGGCCUCAUUCACACCCAGGCUGAGGGGCAUGAUUUAUUAUCUGUCCUUUGAAUUUCUGUGAGCAUUCUGUCUAAACUUUAAAAGGGGAUUGCAUUUGCGAUUAAAUCUUAACAAAUGUUGUUUUAACUAGACUGCAAUAUAUGUUAUUGACAACAAGCGACUUUUCUUCUCAGAAUAACACUGGUGCUUAGGCAUGCAAUUUACAAAAAUGACAAGGAAGGGUGGUACUUCUUCCAAGGUGAAUGUAAGCUGACUGAUUAGCUGGUAUUUUAACUUAGAUUCUUGCAAAUUACAGACAUAAGAAACCCUGCAAUUUAUAUGUACUUUGGAAGUGAAAGCUUUAAUCCCGUGAUUCAUGAAAGUAAAGUGGUAAUAAUUUAAGUACCAUAUUUUAUUUAUCCCUCAGGGUUGUCAGCUGAUACAAGAAGUAUUUCCACUAUUUUGGGGUUGCUGCCUUUGGCCACCUAAUUGCUUCUUAGGAAGGAAGAGGGAAAUUGCUUAUAUAACUGCAUGGAGAGUCUCUGGCAGCACCGGGCCCAGGCAUCAAUCAGUCCAUCUGGGUAAAAUCACAAGCUGACUCCGAUAUUGCUAAAUAUUUAUACUGUCAAAUGCACACAGACAUCCAGAUGAAAAGAGGCAUUCAUUAGGAACUCUCCAGCUUGUCAGUUUAAAGACGCAGAUUAGAGCAAAACCUCCCACUAUGGUACUGCGUGCUCAAGAAAAGUCUAUAUUUAGCCAUUCCGAGCAAUAAAUAUCAUCAUAUUGCCUCAUUUAGGUAAAUAGAGAAUAAAUAUUGUCAAGAUGAUCUGGAGAUAAUGUAAACAGAUCCCUCUUCAGAGUCUGUUGCAGGGGAAAUUCCAGGACAGUGAUGUGCUGGCGAUGCUGUGGGCUUUAACCCUUUUUCCUAAUCGCAUACCCCUCCCCUUUUUUGGUAGCAGAGAUGUGUUAGUGACAGAUUAUGGGGGGAGGAUGAAGAGAACAGAAUGAACCACAAAGGUGAUUUGAAGUUGUGUGAGUUGAAGCACUAAUUAGCACGUGUGCUGAGCAUUGUCUUGAUAGCCCCAGAGCUGCUGCUGCCAAAAAUACAGACUUGUGCACUGGUGUUGAAACCAUUCCCACUCUCUCAGAUGGAGCGAAACCUUGGAGCUCCAGGGAGCUUGGCAGCCCACAGGCUUGGGCCCUGUCUGAAGGUCCACCAGGUGGGCCUCACCCUGGACUGGUUUUCUACAAUAUUCUGUGUCAUAAAAGCUUUUACAGAGGAUUGGCCACUAAAGAUGAGUGCUGUACCUUGACAACUCAAGUCUAUGCUGAAAAAGUGCAGGCUCCUUGCACCGCAGACUAUUCUAUUCAGCGUGUCUGAGCAGAGAACAUGGCCCUUUCCCAGGGGCACACAGUCUCUUCUCUUCACUGGUAAUUGAUAAUUUUAGAAGUUAUACUCGAAGGGAAUUUUAACUGAUGUCAAAGUUUUAGUUAAUUACACUAGAUGAUUUUUUGAGAUUAAUAAUUAACAUCCCUCUUUAUAACUAAAUAUCCAUAAUUAAUCAGCAAAUCAUAACGUGAAGACUAAUUAACUUCAAACUCAAAUUCUAACAGAAAAUCCAUAUUACUCUCCAGCAUCAUUAAUUACCAAAGUAAUCAAACUUAUCUCUCCUGGGUUGCUGCAUAAAGCUUUGUGGGUUCAUCAGCUCGGCCCUGCGUGCCGAAGCCUUUCGGGAGGAACUGGAAGGGCAGUGGUGAGAUUACCAGACUGCUCAGUACUGGUCACUGGCUGCCUCACUGGCAGCACUGGGGCAGGCCGGGGGAACCCAGCAAAGCGGAGCUCACAUUCGCUUUUUUCCACAGGAGGGUAACCCAGGAGAUCUCUAAAACUCAACCAAGCUCGUGUGCCUUGCUUUUUUCCUCACAAAAUGCUAGCUGGCUAGUUUAAAACAAGUUACUUAGCAAGAGAAAACAUGCAGUUAGCAGGUUUGCAAAAAGUUGGGAUUUUAAUAAUAAAAACAUAGCAACCAUUAAGUGCUAAAAACAAUUAAAAGAAGGUGCUGUAAAGAGAAGAAAUACUGAAUAUAAG
rnacentral:lncRNA from 1 species